UACGAAGGGGGCUAGCGUUGCUCGGAAUCACUGGGCGUAAAGGGUGCGUAGGCGGCUCUUUAAGUCAGGGGUGAAAUCCCGGAGCUCAACUCCAGAACUGCCUUUGAUACUGAGGAUCUUGAGUUCGGGAGAGGUGAGUGGAACUGCGAGUGUAGAGGUGAAAUUCGUAGAUAUUCGCAAGAACACCAGUGGCGAAGGCGGCUCACUGGCCCGAUACUGACGCUGAGGCACGAAAGCCAGGGGAGCAAACGGG
rnacentral:rRNA from 1 species